UACGGAGGAUGCAAGCGUUAUCCGGAAUGAUUGGGCGUAAAGCGUCCGCAGGUGGCUGUGUAAGUCUGCUGUUAAAGAGUGAGGCUCAACCUCAUAAAAGCAGUGGAAACUACACAGCUAGAGUGCGUUCGGGGCAGAGGGAAUUCCUGGUGUAGCGGUGAAAUGCGUAGAGAUCAGGAAGAACACCGGUGGCGAAGGCGGCAUCCUGGACCGGCAUUGACGCUGAGGCGCGAAAGCCAGGGGAGCAAACGGG
rnacentral:rRNA from 1 species